GACGAACGCUGGCGGCGUGCCUAAUACAUGCAAGUCGAACGCAUUUUCUUUCACCGUAGCUUGCUACACCGAAAGAAAAUGAGUGGCGAACGGGUGAGUAACACGUGGGUAACCUGCCCAUCAGCGGGGGAUAACACUUGGAAACAGGUGCUAAUACCGCAUAAUUCCAUUUACCGCAUGGUAGAUGGGUGAAAGGCGCUUUUGCGUCACUGAUGGAUGGACCCGCGGUGCAUUAGCUAGUUGGUGGGGUAACGGCCUACCAAGGCUGCGAUGCAUAGCCGACCUGAGAGGGUGAUCGGCCACACUGGGACUGAGACACGGCCCAGACCCCUACGGGAGGCAGCAGUAGGGAAUCUUCGGCAAUGGACGCAAGUCUGACCGAGCUACGCCGCGUGAGUGAAGAAGGUUUUCGGAUCGUAAAACUCUGUUGUUAGAGAAGAACAAGGAUGAGAGUGGAAAGUUCAUCCCUUGACGGUAUCUAACCAGAAAGCCACGGCUAACUACGUG
rnacentral:rRNA from 1 species